CCCGGGCCGUUGGGGGUGGGGCUGCGCUGUGAGGGAGCCCAACGGUCAUCGCCGUCCCCUCAUCGUCAGCCCCGCUGCUGCCCGCUCCUCCGGCACCCGUGUUGGUAAUAGAAGAUGAAAUAUACAAUAUUGGUUAAUAUGUGUUACAUUUGCGAUGUACUGUUCCGGGGCUGCGCUUGGAAGAUACAAAAUAUAAGUGCAAGGAUAGCAUGAGAGAAUGCACCGAUUCAUGAUGAGGAGUAAGGAGGAGGACUAAAAGAAUGCCCAAUUUGCAAGAUAUCUAGAUAACUGGGGCCUCUCGGACCCCGGGAACUGGAUCAAACCAACCUUGCGGUUUGGACUGAGACCAAGGGCUCAGAGAGCAUGCAUAAGAAGAAAAGGUUAAGAAGUUCAACUCUGAUGAAGACAUCUUACUUCAUCCCGACGACCACCCGGAUGACCACCAGAGAGUAAUACACAAGCGCAGAAGGACUGAUAAGAUAAUUAGCAUACGAAGCGGGGCUAGGCGGAGCUAGGAAAUGAAUAUGCAUAGAUGUGUUGUGAAACCUAAUGCAUAUGUAAUAUUUUAGGAGAUAAAAGAGAACCAAGUGAACAAAUCGGACAAAGUUAGAUUUGGGCAGGCAUGCCCCUAACUUCCGGCGCCUAAUAAAGCACCUUCAUAUAAUCACUUUGUGGAUUAUGUGUCUUCAUGAAUGCUAACGCCCAGGCAGCGGCUCAAAGUGAAUUUCGAGGUGCUUUUCUCUCCCCCAGUGCCUAUGGGCGAACCUCAGCCUGGGCGCUGAACUUUUCCUGUGAGAACAACCCACCAGUACCGGUCACUGCUGGGCAGGCAGCCACACUGAGGGGCUCUGAGGUGGCACGGGCGUCACUGACAGGCAGACUUCUUUUUUUUGGUUGCAAGACCGCUAGGACUGAAGGACACAGGUAUUAGAUCUACUCUUGACACAUCAAUAUGAGCAUUCUGUCGUUAAAAUGUCAUAAAAGCGAUGUAAUCGCAAUUUGGUCUUGCAUCUCUUCAGUGUAGCCGAACAUUGGGAAACUGUAUCACCCUCCAGUCCUUCAAAGACAGAUUUGGCAAGGGGUCAGGCAUCCUAGCAGGAGGAUCCAAGCCUGAAUUUUGAAAGGAACUACUAUGGAUAAACCUGCAUGGGAUGUUGACCUGAAGGAGUCCUAAAAUGGCGAGGCUUCUUUUCCUACUUUUAUAUCAAAGAGUAUCUGAAAUAGCUUGGUUAACAGAGUUUUAAAAGUAUUAUCCAAGACUACAUAACCAAUUCUUCACAGAAGGUAAGUACUUCGUUGGGUAGCACUAGCAGUUAUGAGACUAUUAUGAUUAGGAUUUUAAGGAAAUGUGGUUAAAAAAAGAUACUGAGGCCUCUUCAUUCAAUAAAGUUGUCACUUGGGAUAACUAUCUAUACCACCAAAUAAACAGAAAAACUAAACUAAUCUUGGCAUUGUCAAAAAUGUUUUCUAACACAUCUUCUCCACAUUCAGAAAGCCUUUAAAAAUUAUUUGGUAGCAAUUAAAUCAAGAAAGAACCAACACACUCACUCAUACACCGAUUUAUAAUAACUUCUAAAGUUUCUAGAAAGGAAGUACUCAAACACAUUUCCAAUUGUUAUGCUGUGAUACAUUUGAAGAACUAGAAUAGUUUGAAAAUUAAACCGUAUGUUAAUGAUCACCAUGUUCCUUGAGGUUAAAUUGCUCACAAACCAGUAAAUUUAGAAAACCAGUGGCAGAAGGGUAGUUUAAAAAUAAAUUACCUCACCUUCUACAGUAGAGACAAUUUAAAUUGAUGAACUCAAAUCCAGCAUUUCGACAAAUGAAAAAUUUGGGCCUAAUGAAAAGUAAUGAAAAACUCUUCCAUUUUAACGGCCUACAUACACAGAAUGUAUUUAACUAUGCGUCUAUUUAUUAGCAUUUUAAACACAAAAUCUACGCUUCAAAGUCGUGUGGUAAAGUGGACUACCCUGGGAAAUACAGCCAGUCAGAUACAUGAAAUACAGUACUGAGGUAUUCAAAAUAAAUUGUGUUCUUGUAAGGAAUGGUCUAGCAAUUCAUGUCAGUAAGGGAUUUGAAGGGUUAACAUUGAGGCCUGGGUUUAGGUGAUAAGAGAACAAAGGGAUUUUUAGAGAAAAACUGCUGACUACUGCACGGGAUGUGCAGUAGUUUCUAACAUCCAGCCAAGAGACUACCAAAUAAAGAGGAAGGGGGAGCUGAAGGAUGAUUGAAGGGUCUGCGAGGAAGACCAUGAGACUUCAGCACGAACGACCCCCGAGAGACCACCAGAGACUGAUACGCAGGCGCCCCUGGGAGGGCUUCGGAUUCCGGAAACCAAUUAUAACAACCCUGCCUCUUCUAGAAGUAGUAAUGAAUAUGUAUUAGCCUAGGAGCAUAAAAACCAGCCGCCUUACGUAACAGGUGUGCGUCUUGGUGGAGCAGAGACUCCCGGCGCACCCAGCGCUGUUUGCUUGCUUCUAUUCGUUUAAUAAAUUGUAAACUUUGAUUGCAAUCCUAUUUGGGACUCAGUCCUUUAUAACAUUCUGUUUAAGAACUACCUUUUAUAACAACACUUUCAGAAGAAGUUAGGUAUAUCUACUCAAAAGAUUAGAAACAAGUCCCCUCUCUUCUAGCCCUUUUUUUCAUUUCAUACACCUUUCUCAAGUAUUGUAAUGCUUUAAAGUAGAAUUAUUAGUGCACUUUCAAAUUGUAUUUUGAAAACUAAUGCUGAGGAUACAGCACUGAACAUGAAAAAUUAGACUUAUUGGAUGAAUCAAUAUCCUCCUCAGUUAUUCUGGGGACACUUUUUACUGCUCUUUUCCUCCCAAGAGGAAAUAUUCUGGAUUCUGCUUUAUUUUGCAUAGCUGCUUAACUCUUCAUGACAUAAAUGCAAACCUAUUCAAGUUCCUCAGCUUCUUUCUUUUAACUAGAGUUAAGACAUAAAACUCUUUAAACACUGCAGUAUUAACCUGGAAAAGGGCUGUCACUUGAGUCUCAGAACUGACGGACAAACAAGACAGCUAUUUUGCUCACACAGUAGAACAAUACAGGGAAAAAAUGGCACACAUUUUUCAUAAUACACACACAAUGGAUUUAACUCCCUGGUAAGGACUUUUAGAAAUAAAAAUUCACUGCAAUAUUGGUUAGUUUUCCUGCAAGUCAAACUAAAAAUCAGACCAAAAAUCUUAAUUGUUGUCUCUUUUAAUUAAGAAUGACAAUUUUAUGCAGGUUUAACUACAAGGAGAAACAUUCAGGCAAUUUCAGAAACUUUUUUUUUGCUGCAACACACAAAAUCACACAAAUAUUACUCCAAAAUUUUUAAUAAAAUAAAUUCAAAUACAUCUUGUUCUCUGUCCAUAACUGUAUUGUUAAAUAUCAAAGAAAUACAUACUUUUAAGAAAACCAGGAAAAAAAUGAGCCAUAAAAGUUGGUUUGGGAUAUAUAACUCAAAAUCCAGCUUGUCAAAUUUGUCAAAAUUAAGCAAAUUCAUUGUAUCAUCAACCAGUUCAUUUAACAAAACCAUUACCAAUUCUUAAAGGACACUGCUAAAAUAUUUACAAUAAAUAAAUAAUUUACAUCACUUUAAGCAAAUGCUUUACAGUUUCCUGAAUCAAGUGAAUAAAAUCAAAAGUACCAAUGCAAAUUAUAUACUAACAAAUGUGGAAAACAAUUCCUUCUACAAAAGGAAUUGUACGAGGAGAAAAAUGUAAUAGUCUAUUGCAUAUCAUACUUUAGAAACAAUACAUACACACAUCUACAGAUUCCCAAUACAAUCUUCAUUUAUUCCUCCCCACAUCCUCCCCAAGAGGUUGAAUAUGGUCCAGAUGCCUAAAUAAGUAAAUGCAGCAGCAUGCACUCAUGUUUGUCACCAUGUUUUAAGGUAGGGACAAACCUGUUUACAAAAGCCAUUACUGUCAAGUACCUAAUAUACUUACAGCCUUCGAUAAACUAAAUUGAGAACAUUAAGCUCCACAGAAAAGGUACAUAAUGCUUUGCAAGAUUAGGCCCAUACUAACUGCCUUAAGAUCUUUUCCAGCACUUGUCACUGUACAAGUUCCCCCUGCUUUUCUUUGUGUAGAUAGAGCAUUUUCUUUUUAGAAUAGAAUGCAUGCAAAUAAACUGUUUUCUGAAUUGCAAGAUUACAAAUAAUGUUCAACACUUCGUGUCAUAAUUUAUUGAAAUGUCUGAGAGGACUUUCAUAUGUACCUAUCUGAAGAUAUGUGCAUUGUUCUUACCAUACAGAAAAUUUGUACAAAAGGA